rnacentral:tRNA from 1 species
GGGUAUGUAGCUCAGUGGUUAGAGCACUUACCUAAUGUGUGAGGCCCUAGGUUCAGUUCCCAGCACACACA